rnacentral:rRNA from 1 species
GACGGGGCCCGCACAAGCGGCGGAGCAUGCGGAUUAAUUCGAUGCAACGCGAAGAACCUUACCAAGGCUUGACAUACACCGGUAACGCCCAGAGAUGGGUGCCCCUUUGUGGUCGGUGUACAGGUGGUGCAUGGUCGUCGUCAGCUCGUGUCGUGAGAUGUUGGGUUAAGUCCCGCAACGAGCGCAACCCUCGUCCUAUGUUGCCAGCGGGUCAUGCCGGGGACUCAUGGGAGACUGCCGGGGUCAACUCGGAGGAAGGUGGGGAUGACGUCAAAUCAUCAUGCCCCUUAUGUCUUGGGCUUCACGCAUGCUACAAUGGCCGGUACAAAGGGCUGCGAUACCGCGAGGUGGAGCGAAUCCCAGAAAGCCGGUCUCAGUUCGGAUUGGGGUCUGCAACUCGACCCCAUGAAGUCGGAGUCGCUAGUAAUCGCAGAUCAGCAACGCUGCGGUGAAUACGUUCCCGGGCCUU